rnacentral:rRNA from 2 species
GCGACCCCAGGUCAGGUGGGCC